CUACGGGCGGCUGCAGUGAGGAAUUUUGCGCAAUGGGGGAAACCCUGACGCAGCAACGCCGCGUGAGUGAAGAAGGCCCUUGGGUCGUAAAGCUCUGUCAAUGGGGAAGAAGUUAUUAUGUGUUAAUAGCACAUUUUAUUGACGGUACCCAUGAAGGAAGCACCGGCUAACUCCGUGCCAGCAGCCGCGGUAAUACGGGGGGUGCAAGCGUUAUUCGGAAUUAUUGGGCGGAAAGGGCACGCAGGCGGUCCUGUCAGUCAGAUGUGAAAGCCCGGGGCUCAACCCCGGACGUGCAUUUGAAACAGCAGGACUUGAGUACGGGAGAGGAAAGGGGAAUUCCUGGUGUAGAGGUGAAAUUCGUAGAUAUCAGGAGGAACACCGGUGGCGAAGGCGCCUUUCUGGACCGAUACUGACGCUGAGGUGCGAAGGCGUGGGUAGCGAACGGGAUUAGAUACCCUAGUAGUC
rnacentral:rRNA from 1 species